rnacentral:rRNA from 1 species
GGGGGGGGGGGGGGGGGGGGGGGGGGGGGGGAGGGGGGAGGGGAGGGCGCGGGGUGUGUGGGGUGGUCGGGGGGCGGACGGGGGAGGAACACGGGAGUAACCUGCGCUGGACUUUGGGGUGGCGUCCGGGAACUGGGGCUAAUAGCGGAUAGGAGCUCCUGCUGCAUGGUGGGGGUUGGAAAGUUUCGGCGGUUGGGGAUGGACUCGCGGCUUAUCAGCUUGUUGGUGGGGUAGUGGCUUACCAAGGCUUUGACGGGUAGCCGGCCUGAGAGGGUGACCGGCCACAUUGGGACUGAGAUACGGCCCAGACUCCUACGGGAGGCAGCAGUGGGGAAUAUUGCACAAUGGGCGGAAGCCUGAUGCAGCAACGCCGCGUGCGGGAUGACGGCCUUCGGGUUGUAAACCGCUUUCGCCUGUGACGAAGCGUGAGUGACGGUAAUGGGUAAAGAAGCACCGGCUAACUACGUG